rnacentral:rRNA from 1 species
GACGAACGCUGGCGGCGUGCUUAACACGUGCAAGUCGAACGGAAAGGCCCUGCUUUUGUGGGGUGCUCGAGUGGCGAACGGGUGAGUAACACGUGAGUAACCUGCCCUUGACUUUGGGAUAACUUCAGGAAACUGGGGCUAAUACCGGAUAGGAGCUCCUGCUGCAUGGUGGGGGUUGGAAAGUUUCGGCGGUUGGGGAUGGACUCGCGGCUUAUCAGCUUGUUGGUGGGGUAGUGGCUUACCAAGGCUUUGACGGGUAGCCGGCCUGAGAGGGUGACCGGCCACAUUGGGACUGAGAUACGGCCCAGACUCCUACGGGAGGCAGCAGUGGGGAAUAUUGCACAAUGGGCGGAAGCCUGAUGCAGCAACGCCGCGUGCGGGAUGACGGCCUUCGGGUUGUAAACCGCUUUCGCCUGUGACGAAGCGUGAGUGACGGUAAUGGGUAAAGAAGCACCGGCUAACUACGUGCCAGCAGCCGCGGUGAUACGUAGGGUGCGAGCGUUGUCCGGAUUUAUUGGGCGUAAAGGGCUCGUAGGUGGUUGAUCGCGUCGGAAGUGUAAUCUUGGGGCUUAACCCUGAGCGUGCUUUCGAUACGGGUUGACUUGAGGAAGGUAGGGGAGAAUGGAAUUCCUGGUGGAGCGGUGGAAUGCGCAGAUAUCAGGAGGAACACCAGUGGCGAAGGCGGUUCUCUGGGCCUUUCCUGACGCUGAGGAGCGAAAGCGUGGGGAGCGAACAGGCUUAGAUACCCUGGUAGUCCACGCUGUAAACGGUGGGUACUAGGUGUGGGGUCCAUUCCACGGGUUCCGUGCCGUAGCUAACGCUUUAAGUACCCCGCCUGGGGAGUACGGCCGCAAGACUAAAACUCAAAGGAAUUGACGGGGCCCCGCACAAGCGGCGGAGCAUGCGGAUUAAUUCGAUGCAACGCGUAGAACCUUACCUGGGUUUGACAUGGAUCGGGAGUGCUCAGAGAUGGGUGUGCCUCUUUUGGGGUCGGUUCACAGGUGGUGCAUGGCUGUCGUCAGCUCGUGUCGUGAGAUGUUGGGUUAAGUCCCGCAACGAGCGCAACCCUUGUUCACUGUUGCCAGCACGUUAUGGUGGGGACUCAGUGGAGACCGCCGGGGUCAACUCGGAGGAAGGUGGGGAUGACGUCAAGUCAUCAUGCCCCUUAUGUCCAGGGCUUCACGCAUGCUACAAUGGCUGGUACAGAGAGUGGCGAGCCUGUGAGGGUGAGCGAAUCUCGGAAAGCCGGUCUCAGUUCGGAUUGGGGUCUGCAACUCGACCUCAUGAAGUCGGAGUCGCUAGUAAUCGCAGAUCAGCAACGCUGCGGUGAAUACGUUCCCGGGGCU